CUCCGCCAGCCCGGGCUCGGCAGCGGGGCCCUGGGCCGCCCGGCGCGGGGGGAACGGGGCUGCCGCUGCCUCCUCCCGGCCCCGUCCGGCCCUGCGCCCUCGGCCCUCACCUUGAGCAGCGUGUCCGCCAGUUGGUUCUUCGGAGAGGCUCUGCUGGCCGCGAUCAGGUGAUUGCGCGGGAGAAUAAAAAUCGUUUGUGAUGGCAAGAUCAAA